rnacentral:rRNA from 1 species
GACGAACGCUGGCGGCGUGCUUAACACAUGCAAGUCGAACGGAAAGGCCCUGCUUUUGUGGGGUGCUCGAGUGGCGAACGGGUGUGUAACACGUGAGUAACCUGCCCUUGACUUGGGGAUAACUUCAGGAAACUGGGGCUAAUACCGGAUAGGAGCUCCGGCUGCAUGGUGGUGGUUGGAAAGUUUCGGCGGUUGGGGAUGGACUCGCGGCUUAUCAGCUUGUUGGUGGGGUAGUGGCUUACCAAGGCUUUGACGGGUAGCCGGCCUGAGAGGGUGGCCGGCCACAUUGGGACUGAGAUGCGGCCCAGACUACUACGGGAGGCAGCAGUGGGGAAUAUUGCACGAUGGGAGGAAGCAUGAUGCAGCAACGCCGCGUGCGGGAUGACGGCCUUCGGGUUGUCACCCGCUUGCGCCUGUGACGAAGCGUGAGUGACGGUAAUGGGUAAAGAAGCACCGGCUAACUACGUG